GCGAGGAGCCCAAUCCCGUAACAAACAUAACAAACACAAAUAAAUACCGGUCCCACUACAUUAAUGUUGCAUAGUUUUACCAAAAUUAACUUAUCUUCUUCAUCCUUCCUUCCUCCCUCUCUAAUUCAAACCAUGACCUGCAAGUAUGAGACCUAGAUGAUGGGGUUCCCUUCUCACAUUUGCUGCUUUAAUUUCUUCAGCUCGCUAAACCCAUAAAAAUCCAUUUUUCUCCUCUACAUCAAUAACCUUCGUAGAUUUUCAGGGAUAAUAUUGCCCUUCUCAUGAAACUAACAUUUUGGAAUGCAUCUUGAGAUUCUUUUAUAAUCGAAAUAUAGUUUCCCACGCUCAAUUCCACGUACGAAUUAAUGUAAUCACUACUACUCGAGUCUCAUGAAGAUGACUUCUCGAUAGGUCGAUUGUAGUCCAUAAAUGGCAGAAUGACAAUUGGUAUAUAGUAGUUUUUGGGUUUUAGACAGGGAAGACAGAGGAAGAUAAGCUAAUCUUGGUAGUGGGACCGGCAUCCCACUUGGCAGAUUUUAAAAGGGUCUCAUACAAGUAGUGCUUGUUGCGUGACUCACAAAAUAAAAAAUUUCUCUAUUCCUGCUCUGAAUGUGUCAAUGUCACGGAACACCAAUUUGGAAUCAAAAUGGAAGUACGGUAACAAGCUGCGGCCCGGUGUACUUAAUCUCCUCUUGGAUUUAUGACGUGUCAUGUAUAAUAUUAAAUGGCUCAGAUUCUUUCUCCCAAAUUUUGAUUCUAAGCACAUCCUUCACAGAAAUAAAUCCACUUAAAUCACUCUUCCUCCAUAUUCCCAAUACCACUGUACCACGCAAUGCAAGUCUAUGUAAAAUUUACAAUAAUAUGCCCAAACACUAAAAGAUCAUGGAUCAUUCUUAAAUUUGUCUUCUGCUUCUUAGUGUGAUAUUUAAAAUUUUAAAUAAAUUUGGUGUAGUUUUUCAUUUAUUAUUGAUCAUGUGUCAAAUCUUGGUGUAAUAUUUAAAACAACGAAUAAAUUCGGUGUAGUUUUUAUCUAUUAUUGAUGUGUCUAAUUUUGGUGUAAUAUUGUUAUAUCCCGCAUUUUUGUGCAAUCGGAUAAUUCAAGACAAUCGCGGGAAGACAAUAAGCAAGGCCUUAUUUUUGUUUUGUUUGGCAUAUGAGUUGUUUAUGAAAGAUUUAGAAGCGGAAUUAUCAAGAGAGUCUAGGGGUAAAAUUGGAAUUUUUGGGAAAAUAGUUUUAUGAAUUACUACUUGUCAUGAAGAAUAAUUGGGCUUGAAAUUUUAGAAGGCAAAAGAGGGCCCAACCGGCCAUGGCAUGGGCUAAGCCCAUGAGGGGGUUUAAUUUACAAGAAUAAAAGAUGACUAAGUCAUCCUUAUCAUGUAAUUUUCUAGAAAUCUCAAGAAGUGGAAGAACAAGAAAAACAAGGAGAAACUUUAAAGGCCAUUCGGCCACAACAAAUUCCACCAAAACCUUGGAAGAUUUUCCAUCAAAAAUCAUUCUCUUCUAGCCAAACAAUCCCUAGCAAGGUGGAGUAUUCAUUGGAGCAAGAAAAACAUAUAUUCAUAAGUUGGAAAUUCAAGCAAGUUGGAGAAUCAAAGAAGGAGAUUUUGGCGGAUUUGCAACUUGAAUUUGGAAUAGCAUAAGGAGCGGAAAGAGGUCAGCAGGUAGACGGACCUGAUUUCUAGGAGUUCUAUCAGCAGUUAUCGGCAGCGCUCCAGUUGUCCCGGAGCCUCAGAUUCUUGGUACUAUUUUGUGUAUAUAUGUUCGGGCACGGUAGUACUCGGCCCUUUCUAUGUAUAUGUGUACUAUGUUUAGAGGCUCGUAGACAGAUAUGUACAGUUAGAUGUUUUGUACUUUUGAUGGUCCUAGUCGCUGUAUACUGUGCUAGUAAAGCUUAUUAGCCUAUGUUUAUAAGUAUCCUCCUAAUGUUAACGUUUAGUAAACAAGAAAAAUAUAUGGUAUAGUUCAUA